rnacentral:rRNA from 1 species
UGAGGAAUAUUGGUCAAUGGACGCAAGUCUGAACCAGCCAAGUAGCGUGCAGGAUGACGGCCCUAUGGGUUGUAAACUGCUUUUAUAUUGGGCUAAAGUGGGGAACGUGUUCCCUUUUGCAGGUACCAUAUGAAUAAGGACCGGCUAAUUCCGUGCCAGCAGCCGCGGUAAUACGGAAGGUUCGGGCGUUAUCCGGAGUUAUUGGGUUUAAAGGGAGCGUAGGCCGUUUGGUAAGCGUGUUGUGAAAUGUAGGAGCUCAACUUCUAGAUUGCAGCGCGAACUGUCAGACUUGAGUGCGCACAACGUAGGCGGAAUUCAUGGUGUAGCGGUGAAAUGCUUAGAUAUCAUGAAGAACUCCGAUUGCGAAGGCAGCUUACGGGAGCGCAACUGACGCUGAAGCUCGAAGGUGCGGGUAUCGAACAGG